GUUUUCUGUUUUGAUUUCAGUUCAGUUUUAGUUCAUUUUAAGAGUGGUUUUACUAGCGUAGAUUUGUUUGCGAAUGGUUGGCUGAUAUUCGCACAGGACCCUGAAGUGGGCAUGCCUAUUAAGAGGCUUCCCUUAUGCUAAUCAACAUGAACAGGAUGUGAUUCUUUUUUUCAGGAUUAAUAAAGUGAUCAGUGGCAGCUACUUCCAUCUGUGAGGCAGAACCAGGGGACACCGGGGCAGAAAUCUGAUAAAGGAAAGAAAGCAGCUUGUGGAAGCAAAGAAACCCCAGGUGUUCUGAUCCACACAGAACACAAUACAUUCUCUGUACAAUCAGUUUAUACAGCUGAAUAUUUACUGAAGACACUCAGAGGAAUCAGAGCAGAACCCUUGUUUCCAGGCAAGUUUGCAAUCCACCCUGCCGCCAUCAUCACCAUGGCAUAUUUAAUCA